GUCAAGAAAAGUCUCUAUCGAGGUUAAAGGUACCCGUACCGCAAACCGACACAGGUGGGUGAGGAGAGUAUCCUAAGGUCAGCGAGAGAACUGUUGUUAAGGAACUCGGCAAAAUGACCCCGUAACUGAGGGAUAAGGGGUGCCACCAUCAGGUGGCCGCAGAGAAUAGGCCCAAGCGACUGUUUACCAAAAACAUAGGUUUCUGC
rnacentral:rRNA from 1 species